GACGAACGCUGGCGGCGUGCUUAACACAUGCAAGUCGAACGGAAAGGCCCUGCUUGCAGGGUACUCGAGUGGCGAACGGGUGAGUAACACGUGGGUGAUCUGCCCUGCACUUCGGGAUAAGCCUGGGAAACUGGGUCUAAUACCGGAUAGGAGCCAUUUUUAGUGUGAUGGUUGGAAAGUUUUUUCGGUGUAGGAUGAGCUCGCGGCCUAUCAGCUUGUUGGUGGGGUAAUGGCCUACCAAGGCGGCGACGGGUAGCCGGCCUGAGAGGGUGGACGGCCACAUUGGGACUGAGAUACGGCCCAGACUCCUACGGGAGGCAGCAGUGGAGAAUAUUGCACAAUGGGCGCAAGCCUGAUGCAGCGACGCCGCGUGGGGGAUGACGGCCUUCGGGUUGUAAACUCCUUUCGCUAGGGACGAAGCUUUUUGUGACGGUACCUAGAUAAGAAGCACCGGCUAACUACGUG
rnacentral:rRNA from 1 species